rnacentral:rRNA from 1 species
GAUGAACGCUGGCGGCGUGCCUAAUACAUGCAAGUCGAGCGAACGGACGAGAGGCUUGCUUUUCUGAUGUUAGCGGCGGACGGGUGAGUAACACGUGGAUAACCUACCUAUAAGACUGGGAUAACUUCGGGAAACCGGAGCUAAUACCGGAUAAUAUUUUGAACCGCAUGGUUCAAAAGUGAAAGACGGUCUUGCUGUCACUUAUAGAUGGAUCCGCGCUGCAUUAGCUAGUUGGUAAGGUAACGGCUUACCAAGGCAACGAUGCAUAGCCGACCUGAGAGGGUGAUCGGCCACACUGGAACUGAGACACGGUCCAGACUCCUACGGGAGGCAGCAGUAGGGAAUCUUCCGCAAUGGGCGAAAGCCUGACGGGGCAACGCCGCGUGAGUGAUGAAGGUCUUCGGAUCGUAAAACUCUGUUAUUAGGGAAGAACAUAUGUGUAAGUAACUGUGCACAUCUUGACGGUACCUAAUCAGAAAGCCACGGCUAACUACGUG